UACGUAGGGGGCAAGCGUUAUCCGGAUUUACUGGGUGUAAAGGGAGCGUAGGCGGCGAUGCAAGUCAGAAGUGAAAGCCCGGGGCUCAACUCCGGGACUGCUUUUGAAACUGUGUUGCUAGAUUGCAGGAGAGGUAAGUGGAAUUCCUAGUGUAGCGGUGAAAUGCGUAGAUAUUAGGAGGAACACCAGCGGCGAAGGCGGCUUACUGGACUGUAAAUGACGCUGAGGCUCGAAAGCGUGGGGAGCAAACAGG
rnacentral:rRNA from 1 species